rnacentral:rRNA from 1 species
GACGAACGCUGGCGGCGUGCUUAACACAUGCAAGUCGAACGGAAAGGCCCUGCUUUUGUGGGGUGCUCGAGUGGCGAACGGGUGAGUAACACGUGAGUAACCUGCCCUUGACUUUGGGAUAACUUCAGGAAACUGGGGCUAAUACCGGAUAGGAGCUCCUGCUGCAUGGUGGGGGUUGGAAAGUUUCGGCGGUUGGGGAUGGACUCGCGGCUUAUCAGCUUGUUGGUGGGGUAGUGGCUUACCAAGGCUUUGACGGGUAGCCGGCCUGAGAGGGUGACCGGCCCACAUGGGACUGAGAAACGGGCCAGACUCCUACAGGAGGCAGCAGUGGGGAAUAAUGCACAAAGGGCGGGAGCCCGAAGGAGAAAAGCCGCGGGCGGGAUGACGGCCUUCGGGUUGGAAAACGCCUUCGCCUGUGACGAAGCGUGGGUGAAGGUAAUGGGUAAAGAAGCAACGGGUAAAUAACUGC